rnacentral:rRNA from 1 species
CGUAAUAGCUCACUGGUCGAGUCGGCCUGCGCGGAAGAUGUAACGGGGCUAAACCAUGCACCGAAGCUGCGGCAGCGACGCUUAUGCGUUGUUGGGUAGGGGAGCGUUCUGUAAGCCUGCGAAGGUGGCCUGUGAGGGCUGCUGGAGGUAUCAGAAGUGCGAAUGCUGACAUAAGUAACGAUAAAGCGGGUGAAAAGCCCGCUCGCCGGAAGACCAAGGGUUCCUGUCCAACGUUAAUCGGGGCAGGGUGAGUCGACCCCUAAGGCGAGGCCGAAAGGCGUAGUCGAUGGGAAACAGGUUAAUAUUCCUGUACUUGGUGUUA